rnacentral:sRNA from 1 species
AUGGCUGUCGUCAGCUCGUGCCGUGAGGUGUCAGGUUAAGUCCUAUAACGAGCGCAACCCCUAUCGUUAGUUGCCAUCAAGUAAAGUUGGGAACUCUAGCGAAACUGCCGGUGCAAACCGUGAGGAAGGUGGGGAUGACGUCAAAUCAUCACGGCCCUUACGUCCUGGGCCACACACGUGCUACAAUGGUCAGUACAGAAAGCAGCCACUAUGCGAAUAGGAGCUAAUCUUUAAAGCUGAUCUCAGUUCGGAUCGGAGUCUGCAACUCGACUCCGUGAAGCUGGAAUCGCUAGUAAUCGGAUAUCAGCCAUGAUCCGGUGAAUACGUUCCCGGGCCUUGUACACACCGCCCGUCAAGCCAUGGAAGCUGGGGGUACCUAAAGUCGGUCACCGAAAGGAGCCGCCUAGGGUAAAACUAGUAACUGGGGCUAAGUCGUAACAAGGUAGCCGUACCGGAAGGUGCGGCUGGAAUACCUCCUUUCUAGAGAAAGACGACUUUGACUAUAAGUAUCAAUCCUUUGCGUUUGCUUGCUGUCAUUUUUUAAUAAAAACCCUUAAAAUAGAAUCUCGAAUAGAGUCUCGUAGCUCAGCCGGUUAGAGCGCUACACUGAUAAUGUAGAGGUCGGCAGUUCGAGUCUGCCCGAGACUACUAAAUUCCAUUUAUGGAAAAAAGGGGGAUUAGCUCAGCUGGCUAGAGCGCCUGCCUUGCACGCAGGAGGUCAUCGGUUCGACUCCGAUAUUCUCCACAACUUCUUAAUGUAUAUUAAGAAUAAGAGUUCAUUGACAUAUUGAAAAUAUCAAGUACAAUUCAAAAUUAUUCCGUUAUCCAAUUGAAUAAUUUAUUGAGAUUGUACAGAGUUAACGUAAAUGAGUAUUUAAUAUUGUUAUUAUUAAAUACUAAAUAAUUUUACAAUUUAAGAAAGAGUUAAGAGUUACUUGUAACUUUUUAAGUUACAAUAGGCUAAUUAAGAGCGUAAGGGGAAUGCCUUGGCUCUCAGAGGCGAUGAAGGACGUGAUAAGCUGCGAUAAGCUUUGGGGAGUGGCACAAACACUUUGAUCCGAAGAUUUCCGAAUGGGGAAACCCGG